rnacentral:tRNA from 1 species
AUGUUAGACAUAUAGCCUAGUUUGAAGCUAGGCUGACUAAAUACAGUUUAGCUAACAUUUUAUACAAAAAUACU